UAACACAUGCAAGUCGAGGGGCAGCGGAGAGGUAGCAAUACCUUUGCCGGCGACCGGCGCACGGGUGAGUAACACGUAUGCAAUCCACCUGUAACAGGGGGAUAACCCGGAGAAAUCCGGACUAAUACCCCAUAAUAUGGGCGCUCCGCAUGGAGAGCCCAUUAAAGAGAGCAAUUUUGGUUACAGACGAGCAUGCGCUCCAUUAGCCAGUUGGCGGGGUAACGGCCCACCAAGGCGACGAUGGAUAGGGGUUCUGAGAGGAAGGUCCCCCACAUUGGAACUGAGACACGGUCCAAACUCCUACGGGAGGCAGCAGUGAGGAAUAUUGGUCAAUGGUCGGCAGACUGAACCAGCCAAGUCGCGUGAGGGAAGACGGCCCUACGGGUUGUAAACCUCUUUUGUCGGAGAGUAAAGUACGCUACGCGUAGCGUAUUGCAAGUAUCCGAAGAAAAAGCAUCGGCUAACUCCGUGCCAGCAGCCGCGGUAAUACGGAGGAUGCGAGCGUUAUCCGGAUUUAUUGGGUUUAAAGGGUGCGUAGGCGGCACGCCAAGUCAGCGGUGAAAUUUCCGGGCUCAACCCGGAGUGUGCCGUUGAAACUGGCGAGCUAGAGUGCACAAGAGGCAGGCGGAAUGCGUGGUGUAGCGGUGAAAUGCAUAGAUAUCACGCAGAACCCCGAUUGCGAAGGCAGCCUGCUAGGGUGCGACAGACGCUGAGGCACGAAAGCGUGGGUAUCGAACAGGAUUAGAUACCCUGGUAGUCCACGCAGUAAACGAUGAAUACUAACUGUUUGCGAUACAAUGUAAGCGGUACAGCGAAAGCGUUAAGUAUUCCACCUGGGGAGUACGCCGGCA
rnacentral:rRNA from 1 species